GUUAAAACUGUCCUUCCUUUUAAAAUUUUCUUUUUUUCUCUUAAGGGGUAGGGGUGUAUUUUUGCACGGUCGAGUCAUUUACCUAACACGCCGGAUCAAACCCAUUUCUUCCGUGUUCAAUUUUUUUGGAAUUUGCAAACUUCGGGGUCUAUCCAUUCCAUCUGGAUUAACUCCAAUUUUUAUUUCUCAUCUGCUGCAAAUUUCACGCGAGAAAAACUCAACCGUCUUAUCAACACUACUGUUGUCAUGUACAUUCGAAAUUUGAACUGAUUUCUAUUACUAGACAAAUUCAAACCGGUUACAUACGCUCUCUCACAGGCGUCUUUGUAGUUUCGUUUUUAUAUUCUGAAUUUGUGAAGCACGAUCUCCUCUGCCGCUCGGCGUCCUAUUGCUCUUUUUUUCCAUUCAUGACCUUGAGUUUCAUAGAGGUUUUUUGUCAUUCCUUUUUGCUUUGAUUCUUAGACCAAUCCAGAUUGCAGCAAGACCCGCCGGCCUCUGCGAGAAUAGGUCGACGAGAUCUGCAGGUUAUAUAUUGGAUUUAAUUUAUUUUGAUAUUUUUUUUAUGAUUUGUCAUGUAUGAUUUCUAAUUUAUGGUUUGUAUAAUUGAGAGGUGUUUAUUACAAGCCUAAACUAAAUUGUUUGUUCUUUGUAUUUUUUGAUCCAUAUAAUACGUUUUUUAAUUCUAACAUGUUACUCUCUUCAAGCUCUAUUUGUGUUUCUGGUUGAUGUUAAAAGAAAUCAAUGAAGAUUUUAUGGUGAAAUCUUAUUUCACCAAAAAAUGGUCAUUUUUUUAACUUACUCAAAAAAUAUCAAAUAUUAAAAUGAUGAAAAAUUAUACACGACCCAUAUAAAAAAAAAUUAUGACACACAAUUUGAAAUAUUAUUCAUAUUUUUUAAUUAGUAUUCGAUAACAUUUUCAUAUAUAAUUAUAUAUUCAAAAUUAGACACUGAUUCUUAAUUAAUAUAAACGUACGUAGACGACAAAUAUGAAAGAAAAUAGUAAAAACGCAAAAUUAUAUUAACUGGAAUAUACUACAGGGGUCAUGUUCUACGUGGAAACAUUAGGCAUAAAACCCUUCGACAUCUUACCUUAUUUUUAGUAUUAGUUUUUUUUUUUUUUAAUAGCGAAAUUAUAUUAUAAAGUUUCGGAGGAUCCUACAAAGACCAAAAGGAGGGCACUGCAUAGCUAAAACUAAAAACCUAUAGAAACUACUGAGAACUAUGCAGCCAAAACCUAGACACCCAGAUCAUAAAGAUUUAAAAAGCUAAUUCUUAGAAACUCCCAAACCAUGGAGAUAAGCGUUCUCAGGCACCNGAAUAGCGAAAUUAUAUUAUAAAGUUUCGGAGGAUCCUACAAAGACCAAAAGGAGGGCACUGCAUAGCUAAAACUAAAAACCUAUAGAAACUACUGAGAACUAUGCAGCCAAAACCUAGACACCCAGAUCAUAAAGAUUUAAAAAGCUAAUUCUUAGAAACUCCCAAACCAUGGAGAUAAGCGUUCUCAGGCACCUGAGCUUGGACCUGGCUUGACUUCACCCCUUGACACUUGACUUGCCUCAAAGCCUCUGAAUCCUAACAAAACUAACACUUCUUCAACCCCCAUCAGAUUAUCAGCAUCAGAAGAAGAGCAGAGCAAAUUGCACAUGAAAAAAAUGUCUUUAGUAUUAGUUAGGGUUCUGUAGCAGAAUUGCACAUGAAAAAAAUGUCUUUAUGUAUCAUAUUUUGAAAUUACUUUUGAACACACACAACGAUGCGAAAAAACAUGUAUUUAGAUUUAGAUCCUGAAAAUCUAUGAAAAAUAUAGGGUUGUGCAGUAGAACCUUAGUAGUUUUAUGGUUAUAUUUUAAAUACUGAUUCUCUCUUGAGCGCGACCCUAUAAAGAUAUUCAAAUUAACUAAAACACAUGACAAAUUUAUCGAGUGCGAAACACAUGCAAUAUCUAAUUUAAGUGUGUGUAUUCGUUAUUAUCAUUUGUCUACUAUUUUGGGUGUUUAAAUAAAAUUGCUAUGGAUGAUAUAAGAGUGUAAAUUAAAUUUUUUGUUUUUCUGAGAGUAUAUAUAAUAUCAAAACAAUAGUAUAUAAAAAAAAAUUUAGUUUACUCCAGUGUUUUUUUUUGUAAUAAUUCUUUUAUAGAUAUCAAAUUCUCUUAUUAUAUAAGUUUAAUUUACCGGACUAUAUAACUAAAAACACAUAAAAUCUUUAAAUUUUAUAUAAUCAUCGACUAAAAUUUUACAUAAUAAUAAUCGAUAAUCGGGAAAAAAUCUAAUAAUAUAAAAAAAAUAUAAAAUGUAGGACGACAUAAACAUGCAAACGUUACUAUUUACGACUAAUGAGAAUUCCAAUUAAAAUAAAAACAACAUGAUAAUGAUAAUGUCUUCUGACAGAAAUAUAUAUAAAUAUAAUUUACUGUGUGCGGAGCACGUGCAAGAUAACUAGUCUAGAAUAAAGAAUGCUUAUAUUGGGCCUGUUUGGUUAGCAGAAGGAGAAACUAGCAAAAUACUACUUUUUCUUUCACGCCUUCUACUUUUUUUUAAAUAUUUUAUUAACUUAUUUACUUCUCACACCGAAACAGCCCCUUUGUUACUGCAACAUUUGCGACUUUUAUUCAUGCUAAAGUAUAAUUACGUUGUCACACUUUUUCUAUUAUUCGUAAUUAUCUUUGUAAUGCUAAAGUACUCCAGUUGUUCUCAUUUUUCUAGACAUAAUUUAAAAUUUUUAUAAAUUAUAAAAUUUUAAGUAAAUUAUAUUUUCAUAAUUUACUUAAAUUUAUUUAUUAAACGAUAUUUUUGUAGGAGUGUGUCAAACCUUCUACUGUCCAACUUCAAGAACACGGGGGCAGGCGAGUAUACCCCACCAGGCAUGUGACGAUUUUGAACCAGGACUCGUGAGAGUUCUUAAUAGUUCGAAAUCAAUUUUAUGAAAAUUAUAUAACUCAAAACAAGACAGAGAUAUUGAUGGAUCUGACUGCAGAAAAUGUUAAUUGUGAUCUCUCAAAUUAG
rnacentral:lncRNA from 1 species